rnacentral:misc_RNA from 1 species
UGAUGAUGUGCCCGAAGCUCUUGAGAGAUGGGCUGCUUCAGGCAUCAAGGUGUACAUAUACUCAAGUGGCAGCAGAUUGGCACAAAGACUUUUGUUUGGCUACACAAACUAUGGGGACCUGAGAAAAUACCUCUGCGGAUUCUUUGAUACAACAGUAGGGAAUAAGAAAGAAACAAAAAGUUACCAUGAAAUUACAGCAUCCUUGGGGGUAGAUCACCCAUCCGAGAUUUUGUUCGUGACUGAUGUCUAUCAAGAAGCUAUAGCUGCAAAACUAGCAGGUUUGGAAGUGAUAAUAUCUGUCAGGCCAGGGAAUGGACCUCUUCCAGAUAAUCAUGGAUUUAGGACGGUCAAGUCCUUUUCAGAAAUCUAAA